UGAGAAACUGUUUGGGUCAUC
rnacentral:piRNA from 1 species